rnacentral:lncRNA from 1 species
GUGACCCAAACGAGCACAUCUCUUGCAAAAGACUCAAACGCAGCUUGUCUUGUGCUAGGUCUCCUUUGAGGAGAGGUUUCUUUACUACUAACUUUUUAUUCACUUAGUAGAAGAGCCUGCUGCUGUCUGGCUGUUCCCAGUUCUUAAUAUGGCCAAUAUUUCUUCCAUGCUUACCUGGCAAACAAAUCUGGGAUCGUGGAAAAUACGGGAAAAUCUCUGUGUCGUUUCUGGAGAACAAUACACAUCAAAUUUCACCACCAGUGUCCAUAGCAAGUCAAAAAUGAUGCAGUGGAGAAUGUUGCUUCAACCAACAGACAUAAGGAUGUGGAUUAUCAGGAUGUCUACUGCUGAAUUAUUGAGGUUCCCAUCAUGAUACUACCUGCUCUGGAGGUCUAUG